rnacentral:lncRNA from 10 species
UCCAGCCUUCCGUCUUCAAGCAACCAUCCUCAAAUUUCAUUUGGACUUGUACUCCUCCCUCAAUCUCUAAACCACUUUAAGCCUAUCAGCCCAUUAUCCUUCCCUGGCCACAAGUAUUGGUUCCAGGGUGGAAUAGGCUUGAGACCCUGGAGUUAGUACAGUCUCUUGCCACCACCAGGACUGAAAAAGGAAGCAGCAUUGAAGAGGCAGAGCUGGGAGACGGAGAGAAACUGCUGGCAUGAUUUGAGCUCAGGGGAUUCUGCACUUCGUCGAAGAUCAAAGCUUAAGACCAACAGGACCCAUUGCUUUUUAAAUAUAGACAGCGAGUUCAGCUCACGACUGUUGCUCAACCCAGUUUGAGUUACCAGGGCCUUUUGGUAAAGUCUGGAUUUGUAUCCACACCCAGCUGACUUCAAGUCCUUGCCCUAUUGCUUAGGUGGCAGGAGGCUUUAGGCGAAGGAUCCACACUUUCUGCAGCUCAGUUUCUUCACCUUUAAAGUGUUGUUACAAAGACGUGCGACAUCUUAUAUGUUUCACAUAAGGAACACACCUACCACAUCAUAGUGGCUCAGAAAUUGGUUAAGUGAUGGGAGAGAAGGGGAGAACUAUAUGCCAACUGGAGACUUUGAGACAAUGUUCUUGGUCCUUUAUUGUUGCCUGGUGGGAUGGGAUGGUUCACCAAACAUGUGCCAUGAUAGUAAUUUGCUGGACAUACUGUGCAUGAAUCUUCAAC